UGACCGUGUUGGUCGAUACUAACCGUCGUGUUAGACCCAUAUUGUUAUUGACCAGGUGUGAUCGAUAUCGACCGCCUGCUGUUAAUGUUGUGCCUGCGCCUCCUAAUGGAUUGUCGUCAUUUUAACUGUUUGGAUGAUAAAAAAUAAAAAAAAACUGAAUUCACCUUAUAAAUAGAGGAGGUGCUUGCCUGCUUGGGUUCAUUUACAUCCCUUCCUCUUCAAUUCAGAAGCUCUAUCCUUGGGUUGUAGCUAGCCUUUUUGCUCUCUAUUUUUUGUAUGAAUCUCAGGUGGAGUUCUAACUUUGAUACGUUUACGGACUUGAUCAACGAGCAAUCUCUGCAACGUCUUGACACUCCUACCAGUGCAGGGUAGGUUCUUCUUUGACCGUCUUUCUCCCAUCCAUCAUCGAUGAGAGACAUUCUUGGUCAUCUCCGUUCAUUGACUUCGCAAAUUUUGUUUUCUUAUCCCUACCAUCCUCCUCCAUACACAUACCAACCAAAUAUCGAUGUUCCUCCUACUACUAAACCUCUUACGACCGACACUCUUACCAUUGAAGCCCCUUCCAUGAUGCUCCUACUUUACAAUCUUUUUGCUUAUAUGUAUCCUCCUUCGUACAUGUAUAAAGAUCCAUAUGGUCCUCCUUAUAGAGCAUAUGAUGCUCACCAUCCAUACGCUCUUCCUUAUGGUGCUCCUCCUAUGUUUCCUCCCAUGUAUCAUGCUCCUCCCACAUAUGGUUCUCGUGUUCCUUUUUAUCCUCUUGCAUGCAUAUUUGUGCCCCUAGGUAGCCACAACGAUGUAGCCUCCAACCAGUCCGAGUAUUUCGAUGGAUCAUAAUUCCAACGAUGAUGAAAUUGGACUAAUAUGGAGGAUAAAGACUUGUAAGUACACAUAUACUUAUUGGACCCAAUUUUUAAGUCGAGCAUAAUUUUUUUAUUUCAUAAAUUUAUAGGCGUACACAUGGAUAUUGCACUCCAUUGAUGUCACACCCGGGCUUUAAGGACCAAAGCCGGGUGCAUCUCAUACAUGCGCCAAAAAGACAACAUAUAUAAUAACAGAGUGUAUAGAGAUAAAUGUCAAUAACAUCAGAGUAUUUAUUACAUAGCGGAAGUCUUAUUACAAAAUAAAAGAUAAAUAUAAAACGAACUAAGGAUCGUCCUUGGCGCAAAAGUCAACUGGGAAAACGCUACCUAGAUCAGAUCAAACUCCUCGCCCUAUGGCUCCUCCUGAACCACCUAUUCUUCUCCUGUGGGGGGUGUGAGACAACAAGGGUGAGCUCACACAUGAUCAUAGCUCAACAAGUUGUGGAGAAACCAGUGGACAUGAACUCACAAAGGUAGGAGUUCAUGUGAUGUGUAAGGCUAACCAAUGACAGGGGUUAAAGCUGAGCAUUGCUUUUAAUUAGUUGGUCAAAAUUUUAUUAGCAGUUACUAGAUGUAAGUGAAUUACCAAACCUUAAUAAAAAUAAUAGAACAAAAUUAAUAAUAAUCCCAUGCAAAUGUAAAUGACAAAUUUGAAUUUAAGUUUCAUAAAUUAAUCAUCAGAGAGUCAUGAGCUGCUCUUGACCGUGAGCUCGGCUAGUAUACCAGUUUUACACUCUGCAGAGGUUGUACCCUUUACCCACAAGUUGUGUUUCCCAUGUCGCCAGGGCUAGCUAGACCCUUAGACACUACCGAGGUGAAUGGCUAGGGAUCCACUACGAGGCCUUUACAAAGUUCCAUUAGCUUCCGAAAACCCGCUACAGUUUAUGGGAAGAGCACUUGCAAGAAUCACCCGUCUGACCGCCAUCGCAGCAAAAUCAACCCGAGAACCUCCUUGCAUGCAACUUCCCUACUGCCCUUGCCCCUUUCGGGUAAGGUAGUCUUCCACUAGCUUUCCUAAUUAGUUAGCCAAGGGGUCCCGUUCCUCCCUUAUGGUGGCACGUGUUUCUCAAGUUAAGCUUCAUGUUCCAAUUAACAAUAAUAUAAUGAUCUUGACAUGAACAUAAAUAGAAUAACAAAAUAACUGGAACAUGGAUAUAAUGAAAUAUUAACCCAAAACCAUGUAAAGCAAUAGCAUAAACUACCCAUGUGAUUCAUGGGUAAAACAAGGUAAAAAGGAUAAAUAGACUAGGUUGACCUAUUGGGUCCCAUCAAAAUUAAGCCUAUGCAUUGAAUAGUGAUAAUAAAGAAUAUUAUUGGGUAACAAGAGUGGAUCAAGGGCACAACUUGCCUGGCACUUGAGAUUCCAGUUACCAGGGUGAUCUUCAGGCGACUCGAAACCUCGCUGCUAGUCAUAGCAAUACAACAAACAUGGUAUAGACAAAAAUUAACAUCACACCAAUCAUAAGAACAUACUGCAUAAUAAUGAUCUACGCGUUGCUACGAGAUCGUGGGAACGAGAACCACUAAAAUUGGAGUUAUUGUUAAGGAGUUAGGAUUCUAUGGAGAUUUAUGUGAUUAAAAUAUUAAACUAUAUUAUAAAUUGGUUAAUAUAAAUCAUAUGAGAGGUUAUUCUAUAAAUAAUUAUCUCAACUUUAAUCUAAGUUAUAAAUUAACCAUAAAUUAUAUUCUAGUAGAUUAUAAUGAUAAGUAGAUUAACAAGACUAACCAACAUAAGUUAAAUAGAAAUCUAAUUAUAAAAUAAUGAGACAGGGUAUAAUAAAUGUUGUUAUUGCAUAGUAAAUAUUUAUACGAGACUAACGCAACUUGAACGGAUAAAAUCGGGGUUAUAGAUUUUAAGUAAUGAAUUUCUAAGGAUUUUAUGUGUUUUGUACAGGAUUAAAUAGAAUAUUAAUUUUAAUGCAGUUUUCAUGUCAAACCAGAGACACUAUGUGAUAAACCAUAAUAUUAUAGAAUUAUAGAAAUUCGAAUGGACUCAUUUGGACUUAGUAUAAAUUUUCUAUGAAUUUUAUAAGUUCUGGAAUUAUUUUGGCACUAGAAAUCCAUUUUCUAAACCCUUUUUCUUAUUUUCUCACAGCACUGGACUACGUGCACAAUAACAGAAAACAACACGGACCUCUGUGAAAGGUUUCCUAGACUCAAGCUAAUUCCGCAGUGGACCGCGGGUUCAUUUGUGAAAAGGGAAGGGGCUCAUAUGCGAAAGACCAUGGCCAAAAGGGUAAGGACUGCAUUGGGCCGCCAGAUUAGAAGUCUACGGUUCAGAUUAGACUAUACCAUUUUAUGAAUUCAUAUGCAUCCAUGGCCAUAGGAUCAAGGAUCCACGGCCCGAAACCAACCACGUCUACAUUUCAUCCCUGGUCCUCGAUCCCCCGAUCGACGAUUCAGAUACAAUGCGCUGAAAGGUUACUACUAUGCUCAAUCUGAGCCGUCCAACUGGGUGUCAACUCCAAGAGACCCUCUUCCACCCACGUUAGCAGACUAGGAGGCGCCACCAGUACGGCGACGACGAACGCCGGUGAGCCCUCCCGACUCACGCACUCACCCUAAUCCCAUAAUCGAACGCGGAUACACUAUGUGUACACCAAUGCGAAUUACAUGGAGAAGUCCUUACCGUGCGCCACGCGAGCAGGAGCACUGACCACGGCGGAGGGCGGAAUUGCGGUGGUUCCUCUACUUCGGCGAGAAAUUG
rnacentral:lncRNA from 1 species